GACGAACGCUGGCGGCGUGCUUAACACAUGCAAGUCGAACGAAGAGCGAUGGAAGCUUUCUUCUAUCAAUCUUAGUGGCGAACGGGUGAGUAACGCGUAAUCAACCUGCCCUUCAGAGGGGGACAACAGUUGGAAACGACUGCUAAUACCGCAUACGAUCUAAUCUCGGCAUCGAGGAUAGAUUAAAGGUGGCCUCUACAUGUAAGCUAUCACUGAAGGAGGGGAUUGCGUCUGAUUAGCUAGUUGGAGGGGUAACGGCCCACCAAGGCGAUGAUCAGUAGCCGGUCUGAGAGGAUGAACGGCCACAUUGGGACUGAGACACGGCCCAGACUCCUACGGGAGGGAGCAGUGGGGAAUCUUCCGCAAUGGACGAAAGUCUGACGGAGCAACGCCGCGUGAGCGAUGACGGCCUUCGGGUUGUAAAGCUCUGUUAAUCGGGACGAAAGGCCUUCUUGCGAAUAGUGAGAAGGAUUGACGGUACCGGAAUAGAAAGCCACGGCUAACUACGUG
rnacentral:rRNA from 1 species